rnacentral:rRNA from 1 species
UACAGAGGGUGCGAGCGUUGUCCGGAAUCAUUGGGCGUAAAGCACGCGUAGGCGGCCCGGUAAGUCUGCUGUGAAAGUCCAGGGCUCAACCCUGGAAGGCCGGUGGAAACUGUCGGGCUAGAGUCCGGAAGAGGCGAGUGGAAUUCCCGGUGUAGCGGUGAAAUGCGCAGAUAUCGGGAGGAACACCAAUGGCGAAGGCAGCUCGCUGGGACGGUACUGACGCUGAGACGCGAAAGCGUGGGGAGCAAACAGG